GAUGAACGCUGGCGGCGUGCUUAAACACAUGCAAGUCGAACGAAGCGACUAUGAUUGAGAUUUCGGUUGAUUGAUUAGUUGACUUAGUGGCGGACGGGUGAGUAACGCGUGGGUAACCUGCCUCGUACAGGGGGAUAACAGUUAGAAAUGACUGCUAAUACCGCAUAACCCGCUAGGGUCGCAUGACCCGGACGGAAAAGAUUUAUCGGUACGAGAUGGACCCGCGUCUGAUUAGCUAGUUGGUGAGGUAACGGCCCACCAAGGCGACGAUCAGUAGCCGGCCUGAGAGGUUGAACGGCCACAUUGGGACUGAGAUACGGCCCAGACUCCUACGGGAGGCAGCAGUGGGGAAUAUUGGGCAAUGGGGGAAACCCUGACCCAGCAACGCCGCGUGAAGGAAGAAGGCCCUCGGGUUGUAAACUUCUUUUAGUAGGGACGAAUACGUGACGGUACCUACAGAAAAAGCAACGGCUAACUACGUG
rnacentral:rRNA from 1 species